rnacentral:lncRNA from 1 species
CAACAUAUACUUCAUUAGCUACUAAUGUUCAAGACACCAUAAGUCCAUCAAAAAUUUCUCAAAUGAAAUAAAAUAAAACAUAAUAAAAUAGUAAAGACAAAAAUAAUAUGGGUUUGUGUUGGAAGUAUUUUCAGCAAAGUAAAUAUAAGUGGUAAAACAAAUCAAGUGAAAUGGAAAAUAAAAUGGGGUAAAAAUAAAUAAAACAAAGGAAAAGGAAAUAAAAUGAAGCAAAUGGGCAUGUUGGGGGUUGAAC